rnacentral:rRNA from 1 species
UACAGAGGGGGCAAGCGUUAUUCGGAAUUAUUGGGCGUAAAGGGCGCGUAGGCGGCUUGGCAAGUGGAUGGUGAAAUCCCUCGGCUUAACCGAGGAACGGCCGUCCAAACUGCUUCGCUUGAGACCGGGAGAGGUGAGUGGAAUUCCCAGUGUAGCGGUGAAAUGCGUAGAUAUUGGGAGGAACACCAGUGGCGAAGGCGGCUCACUGGACCUGUACUGACGCUGAGGAACGAAAGCGUGGGGGAGCGAACAGG